UAUCGACAUCUAAUAUAAGAGAGGUAAUUGAACUGCAAAUUACACAAAAAACGGAGAUUCUGCGAGAGAGUGAUAGAGAGGUGAAAAAAAUAGAUAAAGGGAGAUUGAGCGUCAGGUAAUAAGCUGUCAAAAUUACGUCUCCGAAAGAAAAUGGUUCAAUAAAACGUGAAUGCAAGAUAAAAAAAUACGGAGGUGCCAACCAAGAAAAGCUGAAGCUGAAAAUCCAAGAAAAGUCAUGGCAACUAGGGCAGUUCCGAUUUUAUUAUUGCUUGCUCUCCAAGAUUUAAUCAAAAUUGCAGUUUUUUUCAGACAAAGCAACAACGUCACUUAAUUUAAUACGGUAAAUGGCAGCAGUUUUUGUUGGUUAAAAGAGCUAAGCAACGUGAAAAAAAUUAAUAUGAGUGAUUUUUGUGUAUUUAGUGGAGCUCUAUUAAGUUCAAGCAUCCAAAAAGGAUAUGUUCUUAUUCGGCUUAAAAUUGUUGGCAAUUUUCUGGCAAUUUCACUUGGCCGCAAGACAAAGAAGCUGGAAUGAAAUGAAAACGAUAAUUUCAUUAAGCCUUCAGCUUUCGUUUUGAGUACGCUGGGAUAUGUUAAAAACUUUGCAGAAAUGCGGCCUUUCUUUCAUAUGUGGAUGCAUAUACACACGCACACGCUUAAUGCGCAUCAGCAUCAGAGAGCAGCGUUGUAAGGGCAUUGUGUAUGUUAUUUAAAACACAGAGCAUUAAUUAUGCAAUGAAUGAGUCCACAUGGAGGAAAAUUAUAGAGUAGUUGGUGUGUAAUGUCUUAAAUUAGGUACCCAAAAGGUAAUCAGGGAUCUCAUUUUAAUAUAUUAAAGUUCUAGUUUGUAAACAAAUUUAAAAAGAUUACUGUUGUUCUAUAUUACUAUUUCUACUAUCUACAUUCCUGAAUUAUUCAUUCACUUUAAGAAAUUUUAAAGACUUUAUUUUUUUAAUUUGAAUAAAACCUUACCUAUUUCCUUUCUAAUCAUUUCUAAACCUUUCUCGCUGUGCACAUUUUAUUAAUUAAAUAUUAUAUACAAAUGGUCAUAGA